AGAUGAGCACGUCACGUUCUUCUUGAAGGCUUUGUAUCGUCACACUUACGAUGAUCUCUACGAGCACCCUGCGCUCGAAAAGGAGACACGGGAGCUGCAGAAACUCUACCAGCUGCAUUGCAGAGAUCCAGUGGAUGAUCAUUCUCCUCACAGAAAUAGGAAAGCUCUUUCCCACCAUUCGAGCUUUAACGAGAAUGGGCCCAGAAGCACUCGAACGGAAACCAA